rnacentral:rRNA from 1 species
GGUUCAUUCAAAUUUCUGCCCUAUCAACUUUCGAUGGUAAGGUAUUGGCUUACCAUGGUUUCAACGGGUAACGGGGAAUUAGGGUUCGAUUCCGGAGAGGGAGCCUGAGAAACGGCUACCACAUCCAAGGAAGGCAGCAGGCGCGCAAAUUACUCAAUCCCGACCGGGGAGGUAGUGACAAUAAAUACUGAUACAGGGCUCUUUUGGGUCUUGUAAUUGGAAUGAGUACAAUUUAAACCUCUUAACGAGGAACAAUUGGAGGGCAAGUCUGGUGCCAGCAGCCGCGGUAAUUCCAGCUCCAAUAGCGUAUAUUAAAGUUGUUGCAGUUAAAAAGCUCGUAGUUG